rnacentral:rRNA from 1 species
UACGUAGGGCGCAAGCGUUAUCCGGAAUUAUUGGGCGUAAAGAGCUCGUAGGCGGUUUGUCGCGUCUGCCGUGAAAGUCCGGGGCUCAACUCCGGAUCUGCGGUGGGUACGGGCAGACUAGAGUGAUGUAGGGGAGACUGGAAUUCCUGGUGUAGCGGUGAAAUGCGCAGAUAUCAGGAGGAACACCGAUGGCGAAGGCAGGUCUCUGGGCCGAUACUGACGCUAAGGAGCGAAAGCGUGGGGGGCGAACAGG